rnacentral:rRNA from 1 species
AACGAACGCUGGCGGCGUGCCUAACACAUGCAAGUCGAACGAGAAAAGGGCUUCGUCUCCGCUUAAAGUGUCGCACGGGUGAGUAACACGUGGGUAAGCUGCCUCUAAUAUUGGGAUAACUCGACUACAGAUGAGCUAAUACCGUAUAAGAUCACAUAUCCCGCGGCAACAUGCAUUAAAGAUAGCCUCUUCUUGCAAGCUUUCACGUAGAGAUCGCCCUGCGCACCCUUAGCUGGUUGGUAGGGUAACGGCCUACCAACGCAAAGAUGGUUAGCUGGUCUGAGGGGAUGAUCCGCCCAAAUGGGACCGAGAAACGGUCCAGGCCCCUACGGGAGGGAGCAGUGGGGAAUAUUGCGGAAUGGGCGAAAGCUUGGCGCAGCAACGCCGCGUGAGUGAUGAAGGGCUUCGGGUCGUAAAGCUUCGUCGGGAGGGACGAAUGAUACUGAGGUUAAAAGCCUCGGGAGGUGACGGUACCUUCAAAGGAAGCACCGGCUAACUCUGUG